rnacentral:rRNA from 1 species
UACAGAGGAGCCAAGCGUUGUCCGGAUUGACUGGGCGUAAAGCGCACGCAGGCGGACGCGCGCGUGGGGUGUGAAAUCUGGCCGCUUAACGGCCAGGCGCCAUCCCAUACGGCGCGUCUGGAGUGAUGCAGAGGUCGGUGGAAUUGCCGGUGUAGUGGUGAAAUGCGUAGAGAUCGGCAGGAACACCCAGGGGGAAACCAGCCGACUGGGCAUCUACUGACGCUGAGGCGCGAAAGCUAGGGGAGCAAACAGG